CGUAAGGUUGCGAGGUUAUAAUGAGUUAUCUUAAUUUUUCGAUUAACAGUAAUAACACCUGAUUACAAGAAAGGAAGGGCGUCGCAGAGGAGGAAAAUUCAUCUUUUCCUGAUCAUUUUCAUGGUCUAGCUUUCUCUCUCAUUCUUGAUCAACUGACUCGCUCGACAGCAAGCUUGAAAUUCGAGGAACUCAGAUUAGAAGAUUAUUUACUUCAGGGGCGCGUACAAAGACCCGAAGCCACCAGGUUUGAAAGCAAGACAUAUCUUUGUUCGGAACACAACGAAGCUCUGAAAGUUUACUGUCACACAGAUAAAUGCCUCAUCUGCAUUUAUUGCCAGUUCUAUGGCAGUCAUGUGGGUCACGAAUGCGAGCUUGUCAGUGACAUUGCCACCACGAUACGUGGGGAUCUAAGCAGCGUAUCUAAAAAAUUGGGCGAUCACUGUGAAUUGAUCAAGAAGUCAAUAGGAAAAGUGAAUAACACGAAGGAUUCUGUAUUGGCUACUCAAAGUUAUCUGCAAGACAGGAUCGGAAAACACAUGACAUUGUUACAUGCUCACAUGAGUAUGGGAGAAACGUCGCUGAGGGAUGCUGUAAACGAUAAAACGAACCAGAAGAUAAUGUUUUUGAAUAAUCAA